UACGUAGGGCGCGAGCGUUGUCCGGAAUUAUUGGGCGUAAAGAGCUUGUAGGCGGUUUGUCGCGUCUGCUGUGAAAGCCCGGGGCUUAACCCCGGGUUUGCAGUGGGUACGGGCAGACUAGAGUGCAGUAGGGGAGACUGGAAUUCCUGGUGUAGCGGUGAAAUGCGCAGAUAUCAGGAGGAACACCAAUGGCGAAGGCAGGUCUCUGGGCUGUAACUGACGCUGAGAAGCGAAAGCAUGGGGAGCGAAC
rnacentral:rRNA from 1 species